UCCAGAUUGGCAAAGCGUUUAAGCUGUUAAAUAUAUCAAAUGUUUGUGAAACUGUGGAACCCUAGAGCUCACAGACAUUGCUAAUUGGAGUGUCAAUGGUACAAGCAAAGUGGGAAAUAUUUGGCAUAACAUUGCUGAGUCCAAGGAAUUGAGCAUUAAUGAAGUACAUUUAUCAAGGAACAAGUUGGUAAGGAAAGGAGAUGAGGAGACCUCCCUCUGCAGCUGAACUCUAAGGCCACGUGCUUCUCCCAGGUCCUGGUUGGUGGACUCUCCUGUGUGUAUGUGAGAGUGGGUAUGUGUGUGGGAGCUGUCUAUGUGGGCAUGAGUGUGCUGUGAGUUUGAUGUCUUCUUGUUUUGCACUUGAAAGGAGGGGUAUAGUGGGAGAAAAAUU
ensembl:lncRNA